AAGGCAUUGGCGCAAUGGUAGCGCGUCUGAUUCCAGUUUCUGAUUCUGGAACAUCCAGAAGGUUAGCUGUUCGAAUCAGCUAUGCCUCA